GAUGAACGCUAGCGGCAGGCCUAACACAUGCAAGUCGAGGGGCAGCACGUCUUCGGAUGGUGGCGACCGGCGCACGGGUGCGUAACGCGUAUGCAACCUACCUCUUACAGUGGGAUAGCCCAGAGAAAUUUGGAUUAAUACCGCAUAGUAUGCGACAUCAGCAUUGAUGACGUAUUAAACAUUCAUGGGUAAGAGAUGGGCAUGCGUUCUAUUAGUUAGUUGGAGUGGUAACGGCACCCCAAGACAGCGAUAGAUAGGGGCCCUGAGAGGGGGAUCCCCCACACUGGUACUGAGACACGGACCAGACUCCUACGGGAGGCAGCAGUGAGGAAUAUUGGACAAUGGGCGGGAGCCUGAUCCAGCCAUGCCGCGUGCAGGAAG
rnacentral:rRNA from 1 species